CGUCUGAUUCGAUGCUUGCCUUAACUGAAACGACUGACGCGGCGGACGGGUGAGUAACGCGUGGGUAACCUGCCCUAUACACAUGGAUAACAUACUGAAAAGUUUACUAAUACAUGAUAAUAUAUAUUUACGGCAUCGUAGAUAUAUCAAAGUGUUAGCGGUAUAGGAUGGACCCGCGUCUGAUUAGCUAGUUGGUGCAGCAUAACUGCCCACCAAGGCGACGAUCAGUAGCCGACCUGAGAGGGUGAUCGGCCACAUUGGAACUGAGACACGGUCCAAACUCCUACGGGAGGCAGCAGUGGGGAAUAUUGCACAAUGGGCGCAAGCCUGAUGCAGCAACGCCGCGUGAACGAUGAAGGUCUUCGGAUCGUAAAGUUCUGUUGCCACGGGGACGAUAAUGACGGUCACCCUGUGCAGGAAGCCCCGGCUAACUACGUGCCAGCAGCCGCGGUAAUACGUAGGGGCUAGCGUUAAUCCGGAUUACACUGGGCGCUCAAAGGGUGCGUAGGUGGU
rnacentral:rRNA from 1 species